GCUCAGAAGGAACGCUGGCAGCGUGCAUAACACAUGCAAGUCGAACGAUGAAGCAUUCUUCGGAAUGUGGAAGAGUGGCGAACGGGUGAGGAACACGUAAGAAUCUGCCCCUCGGUCGGGGACAACUUUUGGAAACGAAAGCUAAUACCCGAUACGCUGUGGAGUGAAAGAAUUUCGCCGAGGGAUGAUCUUGCGUCUGAUUAGCUAGUUGGUGCGGUAAUGGCGCACCAAGGCGACGAUCAGUAGCUGGUCUGAGAGGAUGAACAGCCACAUUGGAACUGAGACACGGUCCAAACUCCUACGGGAGGCAGCAGUGGGGAAUUUUCCGCAAUGGACGAAAGUCUGACGGAGCGACGCUGCGUGAAGGAUGACGGCCUGCGGGUUGUAAACUUCUUUUCUCGAAGAAGAAGCUCUGACGGUAUUCGAGGAAUAAGCAUCGGCUAACUCCGUGCCAGCAGCCGCGGUAAGACGGAGGAUGCAAGUGUUAUUCGGAAUGAUUGGGCGUAAAGCGUCUGUAGGCUGUAUAGAAAGUCUUUUGUUAAAUGCCUCGGCUCAACCGAGAUCCAGCAAAGGAAACUUCUAUACUUGAGGUAAGUAGAGGUACAGGGAAUUCCCGGUGGAGCGGUGAAAUGCGUAGAUAUCGGGAGGAACACCAAUAUGGCGAAGGCACUGUACUGGGCUUUACCUGACGCUCAGAGACGAAAGCUAAAGGAGUGAUUAGGAUUAGAUACCCUAGUAAUUUUAGCCGUAAACGAUGAAAACUCACUGCCGAGCGAAAUACAACGAGCGGUGGUCAAGCUAACGCGUGAAGUUUUCCGCCUGGGGAUUAC
rnacentral:rRNA from 1 species